rnacentral:snRNA from 1 species
AUCUUCCCUGUCUCGGCC